GAUGAACGCUGGCGGCGUGCUUAACACAUGCAAGUCGAACGAAGCACCUUGAUUUGAUUCUUCGGAUGAAGAUCUUGGUGACUGAGUGGCGGACGGGUGAGUAACGCGUGGGUAUCCUGCCUCAUACAGGGGGAUAACAGUUAGAAAUGACUGCUAAUACCGCAUAAGACCACAGCACCGCAUGGUGCAGGGGUAAAAACUCCGGUGGUAUGAGAUGGACCCGCGUCUGAUUAGGUAGUUGGUGGGGUAACGGCCUACCAAGCCGACGAUCAGUAGCCGACCUGAGAGGGUGACCGGCCACAUUGGGACUGAGACACGGCCCAAACCCCUACGGGAGGCAGCAGUGGGGAAUAUUGCACAAUGGGGGAAACCCUGAUGCAGCGACGCCGCGUGAGCGAUGAAGUAUUUCGGUAUGUAAAGCUCUAUCAGCAGGGAAGAAAAUGACGGUACCUGACUAAGAAGCACCGGCUAAAUACGUG
rnacentral:rRNA from 1 species